rnacentral:rRNA from 1 species
GACGAACGCUGGCGGCGUGCUUAACACAUGCAAGUCGAACGGAAAGACCCUGCUUUUGUGGGGUGCUCGAGUGGCGAACGGGUGAGAAACACGUGAGUAACCUGCCCUUGAAUUUGGGAUAACUUCACGAAACUCGGGCUCAUACAGGAUAGGAGCUCCUGAUCCAUGGUGGGGGUUGGAAAGAUCCGGCUGUUGGGGAUGUACUCGCGGCUUAUCCGCUUGAUGGUCGGGUAGUGGCUUACGAAGGCUUUGACGGGUAGCCCGCCUGAGAGGGGGAACGGCGACAUUGGGACUGAGAGACGGCGCAGACUCCAACGGGAGGCAGCAGGGGGGAGUAUUGCAGAGUGGGCGGAAGCCUGAUGCAGCAACGCCGCGUGCGGGAUGACGGCUUUCGGGUGGUAAACCGCUUUCGCCUGUGACGAAGCGGGAGUGACGGUAAUGGGUAAAGAAGCACCGGCUAACUACGUG